rnacentral:misc_RNA from 1 species
UCCGAUUUGUCACCGGCAGUCUCCUAUGAGUCCCCGUCUUUCACCCGCUUUAACUAGCAUGUCAAGCCUAGGUAAGGUUCUUCGCGUUGCAUCGAAUUAAGCCACAUGCUCCGCCACUUGUGCGGGUCCCCGUCAAUUCCUUUGAGUUUUAGCCUUGCGGCCGUACUCCCCAGGCGGAGUGCUUAAUGCGUUAGCUGCGGCACGGAGAGGGUUGAAGACCUCCCCACACCUAGCACUCAACGUUUACGGCUGGGACUAC